CAUCAAACCCAUACGUAUGGAUAGGUCUUCAAAAAUGAUAUUGAGGUUUCUAAUAUCAUUUUUUCUAAACUGAAUAGUUUGCGCGAGAGACACUUCCAAAGUGGUAAAAUGUGUCCCCCCCCCCUGCAACUUCUAAAAUAAGAGAAUGAUAAAACUAAAAA